UGUUGUGUUCUUAUUUUUAAGCAUAAGAAAUUUGGUGUUGCCUUUACUUGGACUUAAUAUUCCUUGUGGCUGGUUUGAUAUAAUGCGUGAAUUACUUUUGCAUGUCGCGAUCCAUGUAUUGUUCAUGCUCCGAGUUCGCAUCUCUCUUGUUUUCACUCAACCGAAAUUCAACUUUGCAUAUGAUUGUUCAUGUUAACGUGGUUUUCCUUUAGUUACUGAUUUAAUACGAAGAAUGCUGCAAAUUUUUCUGUCAUUUUAGUAUAAGCAGAAUAGCUGCCGUUUAGUCCACUUGUUUGUUUGUGGACAUAAUCUGGCCAAGGAACUAGAUGGCGAAGAUCUAGGGAGGCUUUUUAAUAUUUUGACUUCCUCUCAUGCGUAAAUUACCUUUGUACAGGGAUGGCUUCCCCUUGGUGCCUUGUUUAUGAUAUUCUUUUUUUUAUCUGAAAAAUGAGCAAAAAUUUUCCAGCUUGAUUGUUUUUUUUUUCCUUCAAACUAUAAAAAAUUGUAUGGGGACGUCUGAAAGGCAUCAAGAGACUGUGACUCUUGGACCAAUUUUCUUUAAUCCUGUAGCAGGGAGAUUUAAUCCUCUAAAGGCUCUUUUUGUUAUUUUGUAGCAAAUAACCACAAAAUAAUCAAUAGCUUGAUUAUUGAUUUUAUUUCCUUUAUUUUGAGGAAGUUCCUCUGCUUCUGCGAUUUGACAACAUGGCAUUGAAUCUUUAACUGCUAGCUCGAGCAUGUUAGGAUGCAUGUUAGUUCUGAAAGUUCUUUUGAGUCACCUAACUGGGGAAAAAUAUUAUGAAUCUAUAUGACUGUAUUGGUUUCAAUACUUCAGCUCCACAUCAAAUUUUACUUAACUAAUCUGAAUGAAGCAUUUUGCUUUGGAAGUUUAUGUAUGAUGGGUUCUCCUCUCUCACAAAGGAGGUCUCAUCUAGAAUCAGUAAUGUUUAUUGAUCCUUUAACAGUUCAUUUGACUGAGUGGAUAGUAGCAUAUGAAAUAUAUGUGGAGAUUGCGUAUUGCCUGUCACAGACUGCCUUUUUCAUGAUUUGGUUAAAUUUUGUGUCGAAUCUGAUAUGAAUUUUCUCUGCUAGUUUACAGAAUGAACUUGGUUGUACUGCCUUUUCCUUUCUCUGUCUCAACUAGCCAAUAUAUGACAGAUUCCAUCAAUCAUUACCUUCUGGACAUCCUGAAAUAAUCGAGUUGAUAGAGGAAUAAAGAAAGAAACCUGCAAUACGGUCUAAGAUAUUAUAAUAAGAUGGCCUUGCUAAUGGUUACACCAAAUGGUUCAUUAGUGAUUAGGUUUUCUUUCUCUUGUUAUUAUCUCACUUAUGGGCUUUAGCAAAUACUGUAUCUAGUUGCAUCCUGAAAAGCAAGAAAAUCACGUAUGAUUUGCAUGAUUGAAAAGAUUCUUUUUAAAAAGAAAAAAAAACCUCCUCUUUCUUAUCCUUGCUGGUGAAAAUCUCCAUUAUAAAAUAAAGAAAAAAAAUUACUGGGUAUUAUUCUUUUUUGUACCUAGGAAUAGUGUCUUUUUGGCCUUUGGAAAAUGCUUGAAUUUUUGGUAGUGGUUGUUUGGCUGUCAUAUGCAAUGAGUUACAGCUCUGCAGACUACAUCCAAUUUCAAAACUGUCUCUACUUUCUCUGUUCUUGUAAGUUUUUAUGAAGCACCAAUUUGAUCUGCUAAUAUCUCAUUGUGCUAAUUGCCUUAUUUCCGCUGGCUAUAAGUCUUGAUGGUUCUGAUCCUAUACAGCAUUCUUUUAGGACCAUAUGCUCUCUGGCUUCUGAAUCCAGAAUUGAUAUAUAUUCUUUAUUAGUAAAUGAUUAUUACUUAUUCUCUAAAGAAAUGAUUUUUAUUNNNNNNNNNNNNNNNNNNNNNNNNNNNNNNNNNNNNNNNNNNNNNNNNNNNNNNNNNNNNNNNNNNNNNNNNNNNNNNNNNNNNNNNNNNNNNNNNNNNNNNNNNNNNNNNNNNNNNNNNNNNNNNNNNNNNNNNNNNNNNNNNNNNNNNNNNNNNNNNNNNNNNNNNNNNNNNNNNNNNNNNNNNNNNNNNNNNNNNNNNNNNNNNNNNNNNNNNNNNNNNNNNNNNNNNNNNNNNNNNNNNNNNNUUCGUAAGGAAAUACAGUGCCCAAUUUGUCUUGGUACUUUUUCUUCUGAAUCUUGUUUGAUCUGAUCCUUUUGUCUAAUCAUAGUUUAGUUUCUUUAACCUGCGUAUAUUAAGUUCUUUUUUUAAAAAAAUAAAAAGUGACGAUAUAUUAAGUUAGCUAGUAAUAUUAUCAGAAUGAAUUGUAUUUUGUUUAUAGAGUUAACAGGCAAGGUAAAAUGUCUAACUUUUGUCUCUUUUUCCCCUUCUCUAUCUGGUACUUUUCAAGCAAAAAGUCUUUUGAUAACAAUUGGGCAUUUAACAAAUAUGUGAUUCUCAAAUUACCGAACAUUUGUAAGGAUGUACUUCUCUAGCUAGUUUUUUUGUCUGAUAAGAGUUAAUUUCUUGAAUUAACCUAAAUGUAUUUUAUUCACUAUCAUCUGGAUAAAUUUGUAUUUUGGUUAUAGAAUUUGCAUGCAAAAGGAAAUCCCAGUUUGUUUGUCUUUGUUUAUAGAAUUUGUAUUUUGUUUAUAGAAUUACAUAUAAAUUGCAGAGAAACAUAUGAAUGUGCAGAUUUUAAUUUACAUAUGCGAAAAAUUUCCAGAUGUAAGUAUAUUUAGGGCGUAAUUAGCUUAAUUUAAAUCAUUUUUGUUCUGUGGGUUUCUAACUCAGAGGUUAAUAUUCAACAAUUUCAACAAUGCUAGUUAUUUUUGAAGGUUUUGGCUGACUGUGCUUAGUAUAUCCUGAAUCUCUGCUAGAUUCACAUAUUAUAAAAGUUGGUUAUCAAUCUAUUCGGAAAGUUAUAAUUCAUCCCUUUGUCAUUUUCAGGAAUCAUAAAGAAAACAAGAACUGCUAUCGACUGCUUGCAUCGCUUUUGCAGGGCAUGUAUUGAAAAAUCAAUACGACUAGGGUAUGCAUAAGAUACUGUUCUUUUAAUCUGAAAAUUUUCCUCAACAUGCUUCUGUCUGGUAGUAUUAUGAAGGUUGUUAUCCAAAAUCUUGUAUUUGGGUUCAAAAAAGCAGGGUUUACUAUGUUUUAAGGUUCUUUCAUGAAUUGGCUAGUUUCUCAACGCUGGACAUGUGCUGAUGCAGCUGUUAGCCUGAGAUGGCAAAUCAUCUCUAAACUUGGUUGAUAAUUGCAGGAACAAUGAAUGUCCUGCUUGCCACAAGCAUUGUGCAAGCGGGCUUUCUUUGAGAGAUGAUCCAAAGUAUGAUGCUCUAAUUGAAGCUUUAUAUCCAAAUAUUGCUAGGUGUGGGGAGGAGGUAAACAGUUGUUUGCUAAAUCUGCAUUCUUUUGAUUGGUUUUGAAGUUGUUUUCCAAAUCCAAUAAUUGUUUUCCCUUUUAAUAGGAGCUGGCUUUUGACGAUGAGGAUCCGAAUGGCAAUCAGCAGGUGGUGAGAUUUAUGGAGCUAGCUGUGGAAACUUACAGAUGUUUGCCUCUGUGUGCUUAAUUCCAUCCUGCUUAGUUCAGUAAAAUAAUAAACAGAUGGUGAUAUGCUGACCACCUCCGUGGUUAUUUACUUGUUAUUGCGGUUUAGGAAUUUGCUGUUGGUUCUGUUGAUUUUCUGUUUGAACUUUUGAUUCUGAAGGCAAUAGGUUUCUGGUUCAGUUAGUGAUGGAAGAACCUAUAUGAACUUGAUUUGGAUGAAUGAUUGCUAUUUCAUUUUAUUUAUAUUUCUACAAGAGUUUGCAUUGGUAUAUUUACGUGUCAUUUUUUAAUGAAAAUGUUAAUAUUUUGAUCUAUACUAAAAUACACGAGUGGACUAGUCCCUAAUAAUUAUUACAUAAUUAACAAAUUGGGGGAUCCCUAAUAAUAAAUCACUUUUUAUGGACUCAUUAAUUGUUUAAUGUGUGUUUUUAAUUAAUUUCUAUAACCAGAACUUAUCCCAUUAUAUUUACGUGCUCAAAAAAGAAAUAAAAUAUUGUAAGUACUUGCUCGAAUCUACUAACACAGAGUUUCAUAAAUAACAUGGCAUUUCAUUGUGAUAAAUUACACGAAAUUUACUUGAAGAUUUACGUAUAUAAUAUUAUAUAUUUAUAGGUUUUGCAAGAGCAUGGGAUAUCUUCUCAAAAAACACGUGAAGGUGGAGUAGUUUAUAUAAUUGCCGUGACAUCUCCAUUCUCAUCUCACCAUAUUAAUCUUCACUAUGAAUUAAUAAUAUACAUACACAUAUACAUAUACAUAUACAUAUACAUAUGUACAUCGCGCUUCUGAUGCCUUACUUCUAAAUCAAGAUUACAUGAUCUAUAUAUAUUUUCACACUACGUCAUGUUUUAUAUAUUAUUUACAAUUAAUUAUUAUUUUUUUAUAAUUUCUAAAUUUAUUAAAAACAAAUCAUAAAACAAACCAUAAUAUUUUUCUAAAGUCACCAUUUUAUUUUAUUAAAAUUGAUAAAUUCAAAACUUCAAAGUUAUAACCUUUGAUCAAUGUUUAAUCCAUAUUUGAAAAUUAUUAAAAUAAUAAACAUUUAGAUCCUAACUUGUAGAUAAGUUAUCAUUAAAUUUAAAUACCGUGUACCUCUUCAUAUUUUUCUUACACAUCUUCUUAAUCUGAUAAAAAAAUUCUGAACGAAUUAAAUUAUAAAUUAAAUUUUAUAGUAUUAUAUUAUUAUUAACUAUAUAUAAACUGUCAAUAUAAAUAUUUAAUUAUAAAUUACAUAUAAAAUUAUUAGUAAAUUAAAAUAAGUUCACGCGUUUUAAUAAUCAUUUAUUUAUAUUUUUAUAUAAAAAUUUGACCGUCGUAAUUUCCUACAAUAAUUAAAUACAGUGUACUUCUUCAUAUUUUUCUCACACUUUUUUUAAUAUGAUAAAAAAAUCUGAACGAAUUAAAUUUUAUAUUAUUAUAUUACUAUUUAAUCAUGGAUAGAGGUAAAUAUAAAUAUUUAACUAUAAAUUAUAUAUAAAAUUAAUAAUGAAUCAAUUUAAUUCACGCAUUUUGACAGUUAUUUAUUUACAUCUUUAUUUAAGAAUUUGACCGCUACGAUUUCAAACAAAAAAGUAAAUAUAUUGUAUUUUUUCAAAUUUUUUCAUACGUUUUCUUAAUUUAGUUAAAAAAUCUGAACGAAUUAAAUUAUAUAUUAUUAUAUUACUAUCUAACUAUGAAUAACGUUUAUAAUGAAUAUUUAAUCUUAAUUUGCAUAUAAAAUUAUUAUUAAAAUUAAAUUAAUUUCCACAUUUUAAUAAUUAUUUAAUUUUAUCUUUAUUUAAGAAUUUGACAUUUUUUAUAAAAGUUUAACACUAAUUUGUAUAUAAAAUUACUAUUAAACCCCCCACCCCCUAUUAUAAAGAUACACAAUCUUCCAAUACAUCACCUUUUUUUAACUACCCGCUUCUCUCUAACAUCAGCCUCAAAAUCAGCGAAGGGAGGUAGAAAUGUCUGCACAGACGCGUUCACCGCCGGAGGAAUCCGAGUACUCUCUCUAUCUCUCUUCGUCUCAUUCUCGUGGAUCGUGCUAUUUUUUAAAUUUCUCGCUGUACUACCACCGAUUUGUGUUUGUUUUGCUCUUUUUUUUUUCAAUUGGUUCGCUGUAUUUUUCAUAUUGACGAGCAUCUUUUCCAUUUUUUACGAGCAUUCUUUUGAUUUAACUGUUGAUAAGUUUUCAUGGCUGUAGCUGUAGCGUGGGGUGGGGUUGAGGGAUUGGUGUUGUGUUCUUAUUUUUAAGCAUAAGAAAUUUGGUGUUGUCUUUACUUGGACUUAAUAUUCCUUGUGGCUGGUUUGAUAAAAUGCGUGAAUUACCUUUGCAUGUCGCGAUCCAUGUAUUUUUCAUGCUCCGAGUUCGCAUCUCUCUUUAUUUUUAAGCAUAAGAAAUUUGGUGUUGCCUUUACUUGGACUUAAUAUUCCCUGUGGCUGGUUUGAUAUAAUGCGUGAAUUACCUUUGCAUGUCGCGAUCCAUGUAUUGUUCAUGCUCCGAGUUCGCAUCUCUCUUGUUUUCACUCAACCGAAAUUCAACUUUGCAUAUGAUUGUUCAUGUUAACGUGGUUUUCCUUUAGUUACAGAUUUGUUUGUGGACAUAAUCUGGCCAAGGAACUAGAUGGCGAAGAUCUAGAAAGGCUUCUUAAUAUUUUUGACUUCCUCUCAUGCGUAAAUUACCUUUGUACAGGGAUGGCUUCCCCUUGGUGCCUUGUUUAUGAUAUUCUUUUUUUUAUCUGAAAAAUGAGCAAAAAUUUUCCAGCUUGAUUGUUUUUUUUUUCCUUCAAACUAUAAAAAAUUGUAUGGGGACGUCUGAAAGGCAUCAAGAGACUGUGACUCUUGGAACAAUUUUCUUUAAUCCUGUAGCAGGGAGAUUUAAUCCUCUAAAGGCUCUUUUUGUUAUUUUGUACAAAAUAAAGGAAAUAAAACCAAU
rnacentral:lncRNA from 1 species